UAGGACUCUCGGCAAUGGAUAUCUUGGCUCUUGCAUCGAUGAAGAGCGCAGCGAAAUGCGAUACGUGGUGUGAAUUGCAGAAUCCCGUGAACCAUCGAGUUUUUGAACGCAAGUUGCGCCCGAGGCCAAUUGGCUAAGGGCACGUCCGCCUGAGCGUCAAGC
rnacentral:rRNA from 1 species